GUGAACAAUGGGGGUUCUGUUGCGACUCAGGCUGCAGGUUCCUUUCACCCUCCAAGCCUACUCUGUUCACUCACAGUAUCAGCUGAGAACCGAGUCUCACCUGAGCAGCCUGAAGCACAGUCAGAGCCCUGAAGCUCAGAAGCAUUGGCUCAGGGGUGUGGGGACUGAUAUUGCUCCAGCGCCUCUUUUUCCAGGUUAUGCUGGAAACUGACUCUAUUAUCCAAGAAUAUGUAUAAGAAUAAGAAAGAAGUGCUAAUACGCACACUGACUGUCAAUAAAGAUUUUGAUAAGUGACAAUAGAUAAAGAACUGCACAUUAAAGGGAGGAAGACCUGGAAGUAUGUCUGGAGUGAGAACACUGGAAGAAUAAGUUAACAAUUCAAAAGUAUUUGAGCCAUCGAAUAAUGCAUGGUAUAAAUAUCAGGAAACACCAAACAAGUUACAUUUAUUAUUAACGUUGUAAAUCUAGUAGAAUUCUUUUUCAGGUAACUUAGCUGUAUAUGUGAUAUACAUUUUUCAA